rnacentral:rRNA from 1 species
AGUGAACGCUGGCGGUAGGCCUAACACAUGCAAGUCGAACGGCAGCACAGUAAGAGCUUGCUCUUACGGGUGGCGAGUGGCGGACGGGUGAGGAAUACAUCGGAAUCUACUUUUUCGUGGGGGAUAACGUAGGGAAACUUACUCUAAUACCGCAUACUACCUACGGGUGAAAGCAGGGGAUCUUCGGACCUUGCGCUAUUGAAUGAGCCGAUGUCGGAUUAGCUAGUUGGCGGGGUAAAGGCCCACCAAGGCGACGAUCCGUAGCUGGUCUGAGAGGAUGAUCAGCCACACUGGAACUGAGACACGGUCCAGACUCCUACGGGAGGCAGCAGUGGGGAAUAUUGGACAAUGGGCGCAAGCCUGAUCCAGCCAUACCGCGUGGGUGAAGAAGGCCUUCGGGUUGUAAAGCCCUUUUGUUGGGGAAGAAAAGAAGAAGGUUAAUACCCCGCUGUUCUGACGGUACCCAAAGAAUAAGCACCGGCUAACUUCGUG